rnacentral:rRNA from 1 species
UACGUAGGGCGCAAGCGUUGUCCGGAAUCAUUGGGCGUAAAGCGCGUGUAGGCGGCUUGGUAAGUCUGCUCUGAAAGCCCGGGGCUCAACCCCGGGAGGCGGGUGGAUACUGUCAAGCUCGAGUCCGGAAGAGGCGAGUGGAAUUCCUGGUGUAGCGGUGAAAUGCGCCAGAUAUCAGGAGGAACACCAAUGGCGAAGGCAGCUCGCUGGGACGUGACCGACGCUGAGACGCGAAAGCGUGGGGAGCAAACAGG